AUUGAACGCUGGCGGCAGGCCUAACACAUGCAAGUCGAGCGGAUGAAGGGAGCUUGCUCCUGGAUUCAGCGGCGGACGGGUGAGUAAUGCCUAGGAAUCUGCCUGGUAGUGGGGGAUAACGUCCGGAAACGGGCGCUAAUACCGCAUACGUCCUGAGGGAGAAAGUGGGGGAUCUUCGGACCUCAUGCUAUCAGAUGAGCCUAGGUCGGAUUAACUAGUUGGUGGGGUAAAGGCCUACCAAGGCGACGAUCCGUAACUGGUCUGAGAGGAUGAUCAGUCACACUGGAACUGAGACACGGUCCAGACUCCUACGGGAGGCAGCAGUGGGGAAUAUUGGACAAUGGGCGAAAGCCUGAUCCAGCCAUGCCGCGUGUGUGAAGAAGGUCUUCGGAUUGUAAAGCACUUUAAGUUGGGAGGAAGGGCAGUAAGUUAAUACCUUGCUGUUUUGACGUUACCAACAGAAUAAGCACCGGCUAACUUCGUG
rnacentral:rRNA from 1 species